GGAACGUCUUAUUAAACUCCAAUACAGUGAGAUGGAGGUAGCGUCACUUUUGUUCCUAGCUAGUAGGCGUGGAACGGCAAGGCUGCCGCAUGGUGGCGCUUCGACCGUGCCGCAGCUCCGUGGCGGUGGAGUGACAUUGAGCACGGUGGCACACCUUCAAUGGUGGAAACAGUAUGUUUUUGUAAUUUUAUGCAAACUGAGUAUAUACAUGUAAAACGGCGAAGAAAAUUGUAUAUUUUGAAUUCUUUUUGGCAUACUCACUUCAUAUGCGUACAGCCAAACACACGUGUAUUUUGUAUUCCUGAGAUCUCUGGACAAUGGCUCCA
rnacentral:lncRNA from 1 species